GACGAACGCUGGCGGCAAGCUUAGCACAUGCAAGUCGAACGCCGUAGCAAUACGGAGUGGCAGACGGGUGAGUAACACGUGGGAACGUGCCUUUCGGUUCGGAACAACUGAGGGAAACUUCAGCUAAAACCGGAUACGCCCUUCGGGGGAAAGUUUACGCCGAAAGAUCGGCCCGCGUCAGAUUAGGUAGUUGGCGGGGUAAUGGCCCACCAAGCCGAUGAUCUGUAGCUGUUCUGAGAGGAAGAUCAGCCACACUGGGACUGAGACACGGCCCAGACUCCUACAGGAGGCAGCAGUGGGGAAUAUCGGACAAUGGGCGCAAGCCUGAUCCAGCUAUGCCGCGUGGAUGAAGAAGGCCUUCGGGUUGUAAAGUCCUUUCGGCGGGGAAGAUAAUGACGGUACCCGCAGAAGAAGCCCCGGCUAAUUUCGUGCCAGCAGCCGCAGUAAAAC
rnacentral:rRNA from 1 species